UACAGCCAAAUCACAUAUGCCUCCUGUAAAACAGCUAAUCUUGAGAAAGGAGUAGGCUACUUGAAUUCCUAAUGAUAUUUGUUUUUCAUUCUGUUGUUAAUUUUCUCUUCUGGGAGCAGUGGCAUAAUCAGUACACUGCUACCUCGAUAUAACGCCACCCGAUAUAACACGAAUUCGGAUAUAACACGGUAAAGCAGUGCUCGAGGGUGGGGAGGGGGCCGCACACUCUGGUGGAUCAAAGCAAGUUCAACAUAAUACGGUUUCACCUAUAACACGUUUCAUUUUUUGGAAAUAAAGGAAGCCCAGAAGAAAGUGAUGUGAAGAGAUUUGGAGCUGGGACUUUAUUCUUCCAUCCCUGGCUGAACACGGAAAUUUGUGGAAUUAUGCCAAAUUGCAUCAGAUCAGGAAAGGUAUGAGAACUGGAUACUCAUCACAAUGAAAUGCGACAAUGAAUAAUAGAGGUGCAAGAGACCAACCCAAACACCUCUGACCUGACAUAUUUCUGCACACAGGCAACUACAGCUGUGGAAAUCAGCUGUGCCAUGUCAGCCACAUGACCUGGAACCUGGAAUCUUGUGCUUUCAUGUCAGUGAUGUUAAUGUCUCCAAUAUCAUCAAGAAGAGGAUGUGCUUUUAUCAGCAGAAGAAAACUUGAAGUGAGUACAAUCUAAAGGCUUGGAAAUUAGAAGGCAAAUACAGAAUAUUCCCAACUCUAUUAUUUGAAAAACAAAAUGUCAUGUUUUUUUGAGGGCCUGACUUAUGAAUUUUGAAUACUUGGGGUUGACCAGUGGUAAUAUUCUUGUCAACUGUAUAGCAAUAUAGUGGAAAAAGAGAAAAUGGCAAAGAGACAAGUAAAUCUGAACCCAAUUCACUUUCUCCAUCAUCUAUCUACUGCAAUUUACAUGGCUCAUCAAGGACUGAGCACCCUGGACAACUUAAGGUGUUGAAUCCUUUUUACUUCUCUUGCUUUCAUCUCCACACUUAAUCAUUUUGCAGACUCGUACUGUGUGGGUAUUCUAAAAUGCUUUGUCAGUGUUUUGUUUCUGUUAUGUUUUUGCACUUGUCAGAUUGUCAUCUAUCUGGAAACCAAAGGCAGAAAACUUCUAUGAUAGGAGGUGCAUGUGGCUCUCGGAAACUGAGCAGAGAUUUUUUUUUUAGCUAUUUUUUUAAAAUCCGGAAUUAAACUUACACCUAUUUUGUCUUUUCCUGGUACGUGACUAUAAUCUUUAAACCAAUUCAGGUCUUAAAUUCUCAGGAAAUAUUAAAAUUUAUUAUGACCUUUUUAAUGUCUAGGGACUUUAAAUAUAAAUAUUUGAUCUACCUGAAUGUUGUAUUUGUUUUCAAUCCAUUUUUGGAUGAAUCUCAUUUCAGCACUUUGAGCAACUCAUGAGUCCAGAACAGUGGCACAAGGAGGAAAGCUUCAACCUUUUAAAAAGCCACAUUUAUUGCUGUUUUAAUCACCCCCCAAAUAUGGUUACUGAAAUAAAUGGAAUUCAAACUGUGCUAAUACAGAAAAUAGCUUUAAUGGUCUGUUUGUUUUUAAUUAUAAAUCAAAUGCCAAUCAGUUGGAAGAUUGUAGUUAAAACAGACUGAAUGUUAUUUGCAUUGGUGUGUUAAUCAGCUAUAGAUUUUCAUGAAGACCAAUUAGAAUUAGUCCUAUCUAAUCUAUGGCCAUGCUCAUGCAAAGACUUACACAUUGACUUAACUUUAUGUGCUGCAAGUAGUCUCUUUGACUUUGCAGUACAUAACUUAGGCACAAGCAUAAGUGUUUGCAGGAUCAGGAGGACCUAUAUUUGCUUAAUUUGAAUGCAUAACAAUUGUGUAAAGAAUUAAGCUGUAGUCCUGCAACUGGUUGCCUGUGGACAGACCACUCACCAGCACAGAGACCCACUGAUCUCAAUGUGAUUCCAUGUAGUGUGGCAGUCUGUGAGAAUAACAACACAGGGUGGAGGAGGGAAUGAGGAAAAAUUGAGCAUCAGUGUAUCUUGCUCUUAUAAUCAAUUACUCCUACCUCCUGUCUUCCCCAAGAUUGCACAAUUACACUGAAAAAACAAAUAAACUACAGUAACUCCUCACUUAACAUUGUAGUUAUGUUCCUGAAAAAUGCGACUUUAAGUGAAACAAUGUUAAGCAAAUCCAAUUUCCCCAUAAGAAUGAAUGUAAAUGGUGGGGUUAGGUUCCAGGGAAAUUUUUUUUUGCCACACAGUACAGUACUAUAGUUAGGAGGUGCCCCCGCCUUAGCCCAAACAGACAAAGCGCUCGGGCACUUGAGACAAUGAGGCAGGCAAGGAGGCUGAAGGUACUGUAGGCUAGGAGAAGCAUGUUGUGCAGUGGCAGCUUCCCCUACUCUGCAAGCACUAGGGGCGGGGGGCUCAACCCUUGGCCCACCCAUGCCCCCCUUCCCCCAAGCCCCCACCCUUAACCCGCCUCUUCUUCCCUCCUCCCCCUUUACUCCGCAUGCCAUGUUCUCACUCCUCCCUCCCCUCCCACUCGCCCACGGCAAUCUGCUGGUUUGUGGUGUUUGGGAGGCAGGGAAGGGAUGGGGAGCCUGUGUGCUGAAUCCUUGCUCCUCCCUUCUCCCUCCUGAACGCCACAAGCCAGCUGAUUGCUGCG